GAACCACCGCGCCCGGCUAGGUUCUCCUUUCACAAGGAAAUGGCUGUAAAAGAAACAUGGUCUACAAUAUGCCAAGAAAGGAAGAAUGCGCACUUUGAGGGGCUUGAUGACAGUGUUGUCUAAGCCAUCCCUGAAAUUAUGAGAACUAAGUCUGAGCAAGAACUGGAGAUAUGUGUCCAAGCAGUCCUUACAGCAACAGCAUCUGGAGGUGAUUAUGUAGAGCAGAGGAGGGCAGGGAGUCCAAGACUGUAUGAAGGUAGAUUAGAGAAUCAGAAUAGGUAAUCCUCUAGCUUAAUCAUGGAGUCUGUGAGACACUGGCUGUGAAACAGCUUUCAAACACAUCUGAGUCCUUUUGCCUGGGGAGACCAUUUACAUUUGAAAGAAUCAAGAAGAGGCAUCAGGAUAUGGCAUACUAUGAAUUUCUCUAAGCAUCUUAGUGUAGUUUUUCUAGCUUCUCUUUCUGUGACUGACUCUUCAGAUACAAACCCCAAGUAGGCUGACCUACUGAUUAUUCGCAACAAUAAUGGAAAAACAAUGAGAAUCACGACUUAAGAUUAAGCAUUCAAACAAACAUCUCCCUCUCCCAACUUCCAAAUAGUUAACACAAAUAUGCUACACAGGAGGAAGAUGGUGUCUCCAUUGAAUUAAUCUACUCUCCGAUGCUAAUUCAUAAUAAAAAGUUUACAGGAGAAUGUAUA
rnacentral:lncRNA from 10 species